GCAUCCAUAGCUCAGCUGGUAGAGCACCUGACUCUUAAUCAGGGCGUCCGGGGUUCGAGCCCCCGUGGAUGUACCA
rnacentral:tRNA from 1 species